GAUGAACGCUGGCGCCGUGCCUAAUACAUGCAAGUCGACCAAACAGAUGAGGAGCUUGCUCCGCUGACGUUAGCUGCGGACUUGUGAGUAACACGUGGGUAACCGGCCUAUAAAACUGGGAUAACUUCGGGAAACCGGAUCUAAUACCGGAUAAUACAUUGAACCGCAUGGUUCAAUAGUCAUAGACGGCUUUGCUAUCACUUAUAGAUGGAUCCGCGCCGCAGUAGCUAGUUGGUACGGUAACGGCUUACCAAGGCAACGAUGCGUAGCCGACCUUGCAGGGUGAUGCUCAAAAAUGGAACUAGGACACGGUCCAGAGUCCUACGGAAGGCAGCAGUAGGGAACAUUCCGCCAUGGGAGAAAGCCCGACGGCGCCACGCCGCGUGGGUGAUGAAGGUCUUCGGAUCGUAAACCUCUGUUAUCAGGGAAGAAGCAAUGUGUAAGUAACUAUGCCCGUCCCGACGCUACCUGAAAAGAAAGCGACGGCUAACUACGC
rnacentral:rRNA from 1 species